GCAAAGGCAAACAUGCGCACAGGGGAGAACGCCAUGUGAUGAUGAGGGCAGAGGUUGGGGUGAGGCGUCCACAAGCCAAGGAAUGGCAAAGUUGCCAGAAAACUACCGGAAGCUGGAAAAGCCCCAGAAAUUAACACAGCAAUGAAGCCAUGAGAGGGCAGGAGGUCUUUCCAACCAUUCAAACGCCCAAUGAGGGAACAGCAGCCUCUCUGGUAAGGAAGCACCAUCACCCACCCUUCCAAGCAGAUGCUGAGAUCGCCAAACUGAAGGGAGACUGGGCCUCAAAAAUUCCUUCACUUAAGCCUCCGAGUCAUCAGCCUCCUCCAUCAUUUCAUACUUAUUUUCCUUUUCACAUCAUAACAAAGUUCACUUUAACUUUGAAGUCAGACGCUCUAGUGCUAAAGCACCAUAAAUACAGUUUCUAGAAGAUUACAUCCUAUCUCAUGCUACCUGCUGGGGCUUUUCGUCCCCUUGGGGACCUCACCCUUCUCCUGGCAGUUUUCUCAUCUUCUUUUACCCCAAAACCCUGAUCUUCCACCUGCUAUCUCACUUCCCCCUAGCCUGCCUGCCCUCCCUCCUGCCUGCCCUGGUAAUUCCCAUCAUAUAUCUCUGUGACUGAUGAAUAGGAAGUUAAUCAGAGUGCAGUCAGCUGUACCUUCGAAUCAUAGACUCAUUUUGAGGUAUCUUAAUUGAACCAUCUCCCUGGGAAAGAUGAACUGUAGAUAACAAUCAGGAAGGCUUGUGCAAAGGGUAAAGAGAUGAGCCUUCUAAAAUGAAUAUAUGUCAAAGUCAGAUGACAGGAAACUUAGGUUCACCAAAGUCAUUCAAUCAGCCAGUUAUUCACUCAACAAAUGUUUACUGUGGGUCCCAGACCAGGUUAGGAGCUGGAGGGUAUAUCUCCAGGAAUAUGGGUCUGUGGCUGUCACGCCCUCAAGCUAUUUUCUCUGCCUCUACAGGAAGAAAACUGAAGGCCAUUCAGGAAAGGCUGCAGCUGGAGUGGGCUUCCCUGUGACACCAAAGAAAGAGAUGACAGGCUGAGAAAGUGGCCCCAGUGUGAAAACCCUCUCAGCACUGGCUAGCUUCACCUGCCAGAAAGAAGCAAAGGAGAUUGCCGCAGACACCAGUGGGUUCUUUUCAAAACUGUUUCUCUUUUUUGCCAGACAGAGCUGUCGGGUUACAUUUCCCACUCUCCUUGCGGUUGCUUGUAUACAUGUUCUGGCCAAUGGGAAUAUGGGCAGGAUGGAUGGGUGCUCCUCCAGGUCCAACCCACAGAGCCGAGCCUCCCACACAGUCUUCCACCUCCAUUUGCAUGGCUGUAGGCAGGGUCACAGAGAAGACUGGGGAGGACCCCAAGGCCCUUGGAGGUGGAAGAGCCACCAGAAGGAAGUAUUCUUUAGAGCAGAGCCCCCACCCUCCCAACCACUGGCAACUCCACAUUGGAUGUGAGAUGCUAAGCCUUUGAGAUUUGGGGGCUGUUAUUACAAUAGUUCAUCUUCCCUAAUUAACACAGAGAAUGAAGGGUGGGCUUCAACCCUGGUCUCCACGCUCCCUGCAUCUAAAACUCAGUUUCACUGGUGCCAGGUACAUUCAGGCCAACCUUCCCCAAAUGAGGGCACAGCUGAAGGGCAUGACCCACUCAGAGAGGGCUCUGAAAAGCAGUCUCUUCCUCAUUGGCAGAAGUUGUGUCCAGGUGAAGCCAAGCCCUGAGCUGCAAAUUUUAUUCCCAAAUAUUUCAAAGAGAAAAUGAGCCCAUUCCACCUCCCUGCUAGAGGAAAGUUAAAAGCAGGGUCUGUAGGCACUGAAGCCAAGGGACUUCUUAGACCUCCUAGGACUCCUGCUCAGGAGUCUCUGGUCAUUCAAAUUCAGAUAAGGACAGAGGCCAAAUUAACUAAAGGUAAAUUCCAGCCAGUGUCUAUGCUCAGGAAGAAUAAUUAGCAAAGGCAAUCAGGUCCUGUUAAUCGUGGAAAAAUCACUGGCCCCCUUCAGCAAGUGCACGUAUCACCAUUCUAGAUGUCAGUCCCAGAGAGUGCUAAUUUAGCUUGGGCCCCUGCUAUGAAAUGCAACCCAGCUGAUAUUCAAACAUGCCUAAACAUCGUCAUUUGCUAAUAGUGGCUAAUGGCUUUAAUCACAGAAUAAAACAAAUCAAUAAUUAACCUUAGCAAGUGAAAGUGCAACUAGGAUUCAGAAAUAAUGAAUUCGUUAAUGGUUCUUGCUGCCAUUAGUGCAUAUAUGUCAAGGUAAAGAUGCAGAAAUGUGCCCAUUUGCAAGGAGCUAAUCUGUUCAUAAAUGAUCAGAUUAUGACUUAAAUUGGACCUUGUCUUGAAGGAGGGUAAUAGGUAACACAUCCACCAAGUUAUCUCUAAUGUAUUAAGAAAACUAUAAGUGGCCGCGUGGCGACUCACACCUGUAAUCCCAGCACUUUGGGAGGACGAGGCAGGUGGCUCACAAGGUCAGGAGAUCGAGACCAUCCUGGCUAACACAGUGAAACCCCGUCUGUACUAAAAAUACAAAAAAUUAGCCGGGAGUGGUGCUGGGCGCCUGUAGUCUCAGCUACUCUGGAGACUGAGGCAGGAGAAUGGCGUGAACCCAGGAGGCGGAGCUUGCAGUGAGCUGAGAUCGCGCCACUGCACUCCAGCUUGGGCGACAGAGCCAGACUCCAUCUCAAAAAAAAAAAAAGAAAGAAAAAGAAAACUAUAAGCUUAUACAUGUAACCAUUUAUUUACCACCCUUAUCCCCAUGAUGUGUACUGGGUCUAUGCCAGAAGGUGGUGGCAGAGAAUGUAGAAGUGACCCCUCAGCUUAAGGAAACCAGGUGCCAGCAGAUCACAGAAUUACAGCAACAUGGCAAUGGCUCCAACAGAGGGGUGCUUUAAGGCUGAGCCAUACACAGGCAGAGGCACAAUGACCUGCCUGGGAAGGCCUAGAAAAGGUCAUGCUUCUGACAAAGGAGGGGACAAUUGAAUUAGGUCUUGUAGGAUGGCUAGAAGUUGCCAGAAAGACAAAGAAUGAAAGACCAAGAAAACAAAAAUUAAGAAAAAGAACAAGAUGUGUCCAAUCCAUUCAAGUAUAUCCAUGUGGCUGCAAAGCCAGGAGCUCUUGGGCACAGGGGGUGACAGGAUGGUGAGUCAGAGUGAGCCCAGGUGCAGAGGGCCUUGGGCAUUUUGCUGAGGUUCUUUGUUUUGUUUUGUUUUUGUUUUUCUAAUAGACAAUGAAAGCCACUGAAAGACUGACCCAUGAGUAAUUAGAAAUAAGAUAUGGCCAGGCACGGUGGCUCAAGCCUGUAAUCCCAGCACUUUGGGAGGCCAAGGCAGGUGGAUCACGAGGUCAGAAGAUCGAGACCAGCCUGGCUAACGCAGUGAAACCCCGUCUCUACUAAAAAUAAAAAAAUUAGCCAGGCAUGGUGGUGUGCACCUGUAAUCCCAACUACUCAGGAAGCUGAGGCAGGAGAACCACUUGAACCUGGGAGGCGGAGGUUGCAGUGAGCUGAGAUCGUGCCACUGCACUCCAGACUGGGUGACAGAGCAAGACUCCAUCUCAAAAAAAUAAAAAAAUUAAAAAAAACAGAAAUAAGAUAUAACAGCACUGAAAAUUUUGUUUGUAUGCCUUUAUAGCUGGUAGAAGUAGGCCUUUCUUUGAAGAAAUGUAUGUUUAUCUUGUUUGUCUCAAAUCAUAAGCAAUUACCCUGGAGGCUCAAGUGAUGGAAUAAUUUUCAGGAUUUGGGAGAUAUGGAGCUGGACAACCUCUGAUUAAUGUGGAGAUUUUUCACCCAAAGGCCAGCCUGUAUUUGGAUCAUAUUCAGUUUUAUUUACAGGUGAAUAUGAUUUGUUUGGUGAUGUUUGUUUUUCAUCUAAAAUUUGAAUAAGUACAAGGUUUAUUUAGAUGCAGUGGCAGAGUCUCUCUCCUGUUUAUAAAGAGUGAUUGGCAGAUGUCUUUGGUUAUCAGUGGCCAAAACCCUCUUCCUUCAGGCUAGGAGAGCCUUGAUUUUGCUCCAGUGCCCAUUCCUCUUCCUCCUGACUUGAGUAAAUUGUGAUUGGUAAAAGCUAACAUGGAGGUUGCAUUCUCCUUGCUGGUGGCUGGUUUAGGCACAGUCCUGUGGCUAAAUUCUGACCAAUGGUAUGUCAGAUGAGAUCUGUUGGGGCUGCAGGGUAAAGUUUCUCUUUCUGAUAAAAAGGAGCACACUCUCUUGUGUUCUGUCUCAGGAAUUGUUAGGAAGCUAUUGUAGGGAGGACAACCUGAAGACAGCCAGUUCCUGGGAACAGAGCCUGGGUCCUCCAUCGUGCAGUUGAGUCCUGAAGUCACUAACGUGGAGUGACCCUAUGUUCAGGCUUCUUCUCUGAGAGAGUAAAUCCCUUCUUGUUCAAGGCAGUUGAGUCAGAGUUCUCCUAUUUGGCCGAGGGCAUCCUCACUAUCUCAGGGGUUCAGCUGGGACACGCCAGUGCCACCAUCUUGGUGGUUUAUGCCAGCCUUCAUUCUGAUGGGUCAGAGCCUGUGCUGUUAAAUAUUUCACCACCCCUUGUCUCAGCGACCUGCAGGAGUCUCUCAGCAUGUGCCGUGAGCAUCUGAGUUGAUUGUUUCCAGAUGAUCAGAAAGUCCAGAUCUUUACAACCUUCGCUCUCCAGUAGAUUCACCUGAACAAUUAGCUUUCGCCUCCUCCUCUCUGUUCGCAGUGCUGCUGGGAGGUAGGACUGGGAUGAAUGCAGAGGGAAGCGAUUUGGGAGGAGGAAGCCUCACUGAGAGAAGGGUUAAUAGUGUUUGGAAGCUACAUCCAGAAACUCUUAUCUCCUGUAUGAGCCCAGGGAUCACCCCGGGACCCCAGCCCUGCAAAGGUCAGGAAGCUUAGAGAACAAGCUCCUCUAAUAAAGCAAAAGCCGUCAGCUCCUCCCACAACACCUUCCCCAAGGCCCAGCCUACCCUCUUCCCCCAGGCCCCCUUUCCUGUUCAAUUCUCAUUAUCCUUCUGCUAAUCGAAUAGAGCUGGGCACUUGAUCAAAACUAUUGGUUCUGUAACUCACCCAGAUGCAUCAUAAGCCGAGACGUUUAUGGCUGUCCUGGGAUAUAUAUCUCUGUGAUCUAGCUCCUCCGCGAGCUCUUUGGCUGCCCCCGGAGUCGGGACAAAUCUUAUUUCAAAGUAUGUUUAGAAGAAGGAAGCUGAGGCCUGGGUAGGUCUUCUUCUGACACUCCGCCUCCCUGUUCACAAUGGCCAAAGGAAAGGGCCACAAGCACUUCCCAGGAAAUAAACAGAUGAAUUAACGUUAAUUAUUUUGUAUGCGUUUGAUCUGUAGGUGAACUAGUAUCAUCAGGCAGCACUCACUCGUGAAUAUUCCCUGGGACUCCAGCAUGGUGGGGAUUUUAAAAAGAAAUGUAGCUCUAUCAAUAAGAAACAUGUCAUCCUGUUUAUGCCCAAGUUGCAUCACCCACAAAACAGCCUUUCAAUAUUCUCAGCUGCAAGGUACGUUCACAAUGAUGAUUAACAUUGUUACUGUUAUUAAAACCUUCAGUUUUCCUCCCUGGGCUUCAGAUGACAGGAAUAACAUACUGUAUUCAUCUACUGGGGCUGCUAUAACAAAGUAGCACAGACUGGGUGGCUUAAACAAUGGAUAUUUAUUUUCUCACAGUCCUUCAGGCUCUAAGUCCAAGAUCAAGGUGUCAGCAAGAUUAGUUUCUCCUGAGGCCUCUCUCCUUGGCUCAUAGAUGGCUGUAUCCUCUCUGUGUCUACACAUGGUCUUCUCUCUGUGUGUGUUUGCAUCCUAAUCCCCUCUGCUUAUAAGGACACCAGUCAUAUUGGCCUCAUUUACCUUAAUCACCUCUUUAAAGGCCCUAUCUCCAAUUCCAGUCACAUUUGAGAUACAGGGAGCUGGGGCUUCAGUGUAGGAAUUUUGUAGGGGCCACAAUUCAGCCCAGACCACCCUCUGUCCCAAAUUCUUUCCUGAAGUUAGAGCUGAGUCACUGGGGGACGGAGAGGGGGAAACAUAAAGGCCUGGCUUCCAAUCUCUGCCAAAAACAUGAAUAUUGUUCACAGAUAUCAGAAGCACAGCCACCACCAGGCACCCCCAGCUGCACAGCCUCAGCCCGUGAGGGCAACGGAGUAGGAACCAACCGCCCACCUGAUGAUGAGGCCGCCCAGUUCUGAGGCAGUGAGCAGCAACAAAUGGCUCCCACCAGAGGUGCCAGCUCAGCAGCGCAGAGAGUGUCAGGCAGCAUGUAGAAUCUUCAUCCCUCCAUAAAGGGAA
rnacentral:lncRNA from 10 species